CUCCUGCUUCCAACUAGGGCAGGUGUUGUGGCAAUAAAGCUGCAUUGCUCUUCUAGUAACUUUACGGUACUGGCAAAAGAUAAAAGGUAAUCACAGGACAAAGUACGGUAGAGAGUGUCACUCUCACAGCUUAAGGUAUGUGAGUCUCUCCAAGGAAACUCUGGGGUUCUGAAGAGUAUUAAGAAACUGAAAACAUUCUCAAGAAGCAACAAUUCACAAGAAAAGACGUCUGCACAUCUUUCUCAUUUCAGUGAGUGUCUGAUUCCCAUGAACAAGUCCUUCCUCCUGUCUUAUCUCAUCUGGUCAUGAGGCAGUCAGAAUGCUUUUAUAAUUCACCGUGCAUCAAAGCUCAGCAUUUAAGGAACUGGCUAGCCACGGUGAAACCACAAGAACUCAAAAGCACCGCCUAAUUCCCAUUUCCAACAGAAGUCGCACGCAAGGCAGCUAGCACAAGCAUUCCCUGUGUGUAUGCUCUGCCGUCACAGAGUGCUGAAUGCAAGCAGAGGCACCUUCUGCUGGAAUCCAUGCAAGGCUGACAUGCCAUGGAUGCUCUGUCCUUCAGUUCUCCUUCUGUGAAGCAGGGAUUUGGCCUGAGGCUUUUGGAAAGAGGAGCGAGCCCCUUCUUCCCCUUGGGAAAAGUCACAGAAAAUGGGAGGACACCAGAGAUUACAGCUCUGCUCUUACAAAUGAAAUUUCUUCUGCCUAAAUAUUGUGAAUAUGAAAGCAUACACUUCCCAUCAAUGGCUGGAUUUAUUCUUUCCCGUCUAUGUGACUGGCUGUGUGAGCAACGAGAUGAAGAUACAGUACUAUUUAUGGACUAAAGAGGAUCUGUGAUUGAUUCGUUACUGUACACUGGUGUAUGCACACACAGACAAGUGAGAGAAAUACAUUGCUCUUUCUGCCUACUGACAGAUGAAUAUACCCAGUAUAUUCAAAUGUGUGUAAGGUUGUGUGUGUGUGCACAUUGCAUACGUGAAUAACCACAACAAAGACAUAUUGAAACAUAAUCCUAAGGUUUAGGGAUCAAUUUGUUUUAGGUAUGGCCUGAGAUAUUGUACUUGUUUCCUUUAAAUCUAAAAACCUUUGUGUGGACAAAAUAUUGCAGAGUCUCUUUACAACAUUUAGAUCCUGUCCCUGAUAAUGAGCAUCUUAUGCCUGGGAGGACUGCAAAGAGUGAGUGCUUUUGCCAUACAUUUGUGCAAGCAGAAUAUUACAACUACUUAAAGGACAUACCUCUGGUAACAGCAAAGCUAACUUGUGUACUCCCUGUGUAUUCUAAAAGCAAACAUAUUCUUAGCUAAUCCAAACACAGGGACAUAACCCCUCCAUAUAUGCAAGUAUCAUUGUUUCGUAAGACCACUCAUGUGUGCAUAUUUCUUUCCACAUUGUUAUAUCUUUGGUCAAUCAUGAAACAUCAGGUAUCUCACAAAAGUCUUUAAAAAUGCAGAUGGCACUUAGUAUACAUGCUCUGCCCUAAA